GCUGGGGCUACUGUAUCUUGUCAUUGGAGAACCAAAUACGACUGUUUAAAUAAAAAAUAUAUAUUUUUAAUACUGUUUAAUUUAGCAUAUUUUGUUUUGCAUACAUUAUUUAACAUAACAAGGUCGUAAUAUAAUUAUUUUAAUAUUACAACAGUAAUAGAAACUCCGCGUGUGGUUUUUAGUGACGCUGCGAGAUCUCUGGGGGGUGUGGACGAGGAACAGAUUAGUAUCAGUUCAAUAAUAAAAGCCGUCAGCUUAACAGACUUUAAAAAUGUCAUGUGUCACCGUUUUGUGUUUGUUUGUUCUGAUCGUUUCUGCUGUACCUGUCUGGAGUGAUGGAACAUGCAAAGACUGCCCACCAAAGACUAUUUUGGGUAUGAUUGGAGGACUGAUCGGGGGACUGAUUGUGCUGGCAGUUGUUCUAGUAGUGGUUUUCAUCUUAAAGAAGAAAAAUAUUAUUGGUUUCAACUGCAGUAAUAACCAGGAAUGUAGCAUUAAUGAAGAGCAUGUUUCUCUGCAAGGACUAGCGAAUGCUAGUAAUAGAUCUGACAGCAAUGCGAGCUCAUCUCAGGUGGAUGGAACCACUUCUGAUGAUGGACUCAAUACAGUAACUGCAGGAAGGGAGUGCAGUGCUGACUCUGACUCAGGACUAGAGAUUGGUUCAACUCCAGACAGCAGUUCUACUAACUCUCAGGAUACAGUAAACCACAUGUGUGAGGACUCCAGUAGUCAAAGCCAGCCUGCAGAUGCACAAUCACUACUACAACAGAAAACUGAUUCAGACGCAUAACAUCACUGAACAUUUGUAAUGGCGGAUCUGUGGUAUUUGUCAUUGUCAAUGCUGACAGUCAUGACAAUAAUUAGGUUUUUGAGGUUGCAUGUAGAUAAAUCCUCUCUGUCUUUCUGUCCCAUUUUUCAUAUAAUCUGGAUCUUUUAAAUCACUUUGCUGGAGAUACAGUUGUCCAGAUUAAACACCCAAAGAAAAUUAUUUUUAUAUGAACAGAGCUGAGGUUUCAGACUUAUUAUUAUUAUAAAGGGCCAGAGUGGACAUAUUUUCAUUAUAUUUGAUAUGUUUAAUACCAUCUUUAAAGGUAUUUGAUAGUUUUAGUAUAAAUGAAAAUAAUUGCAGAACACACUUGAGCAAUUAUCUAAUUUCCUAAUAAUUAUCUUAAACACCCUAUAAAUGUGAUAAUUUUUUUAACUCUUAAAUGUCUUACUCUGUAAAAAUUAUUAAUAUUGUGAUUGUUUUACAUUAGUUUUGCUAAUUUUGCUUUAAUACACUUAAUUUAUACAGACCAUGCAAUAAUCAUUAGAAUCAUUCUUCAUGAAACCAAAAGAACCAGUGCUAUCAAUGAAUGUCUCUCUUGUGGGAUCUAUUUAUUCUUUAUAUCUAUAUCUAUAUCUAUUUAUCUAUCUAUCUAUCUAUCUAUCUAUCUAUCUAUCUAUCUAUCUAUCUAUCUAUCUAUCUAUCUAUCUAUAUAUAUAUAUAUAUAUAUAUAUAUAUAUCGAAAUGGAAAAAUGUAAAAAAGUUGAAAAAUGCUAGAAAUGUGGAUUUCAAAGGAAAGAUUCUGAUUGCGAAGAAUUGACAGAGCAGCCAUCAAGUCUUAGACAGUGCUCUAUUUUAAUACCUGCAGAGUUUUUAGGUCCUAUAAUUAACAACUAUAAUUAACAAAAAAAAAAAAUUGCUUCUCAUCCAGGUUUUUACAUCGACUAUGUAUUCAGUAAAUUAUUCAAAUUGGUAUGUUUCUCCGGACCUCGAAGAAAUAUAGAGCUGAGUAUCAUCAGCAUAACAGUGAAAGCUAACACUGUGCCUCCUGAUCAUAUCUAACAAGGGUAAGAUGUAAAGCAUGAAAAGGAAUGGCCUUAGUACUGAGCCUUAACUGUCAACUGUCAUUUUGCAUUAUUCACACACUGUUUUCCUAAUGAAUGUUGUUCAGUUGCUUUGACGCAAUGUAUUUUGUUUAAACUGCUAUAUAAAUAAAGGUGACUUGACUUGACCUUGAGGUACUCAAUACUGUGCUAGUCCAAUUACACUAGUACACUAGUACAAUUUAAACCAUGCUAAUGCACUUCCAUUAAUGCCAGCAAAGUGUUCAAGUCUAUGCAAAAGAAUGCUGUGGUCAAUUGUGUCAAAUGCAGUACUAAGAUCCAAUAGCACUUAUCAGAGAGAGAUACAGCCACGAUCAGAUGAUCAAGAGCAGGUCAUUUGUAACUCUAAGGAGAGCGGUCUCAGAAUUCCUCACAGAUACCACUUUUCUCUAAGAAGGAAUAUAAUUGUGAGGAUACUACCUUUUCUAGUAUCUUGGACAGAAAAGGACAAUUUGAGAUCAGUCUGUAAUUUACUAGUUAACUAUUCUAACUACGUAGUAUCUAACACUUUUAUAUAUACCAGGAUAGCAAUUAUUAAGCAGGGUCAUGUUUCAGGUUUUUGCCUUGAAUUAAUUUAUCAAAACAAGAUUCUAUUGGAUAAACAAAUUAUGAAAAAACAAAUGGAGAAUUAGGAAUUUCAGUUUAUCCAUGUUCUUAAUUAAUCCUGUAAGCAUUGCUUUCAAAUGUUGGUAAAUGUUGAGUCUUAAUUUAUAGUAUUAUUAAACGCAUUAAAAUACUAGAUUUAGUCUGUUUAAAACAAUUAAUUCAUGUGAACUAGGGCCUCAUUAACACACAGGCUUCAAUGGGCUGAAGCCCAGGGACCUACACAUGGGAGGGGCCUAAUGAGCCUAAUAAUUAUUGUAUGUAUGGGUGUUUGCAGUGACAACAGGGUUCUGUAAACAAACUAACACACUCAUUUUCAGUGAUGCCCUGCAAUGAAUGGUUCAUGUAUUGUUAUUUAUUUUCAUUAUUUGUUUUAUUUUUAUUUAUUUUUUUACCAUAAAAUGAGAUGACACACACAGGUUGCAUGCUUUUUUCUUUUAUUACUUAUUGUUUCCAAUUUAUGCAUUAUUUACACUGGAAAGAUGACAUCCACAAUUUUUUUUUUUUUUUUUUUUACAGUUAUCUAAACAUUCAGUAAUGCAUUAACUACAUAAGCAUUAUCGCUUAACUAUAUAAUUAAACCUUUACUCUGAUGCAUUUAUAUCAGUGACUAUUUUACAUUCACAUUAAGUUAUUUAGCAGAUGCUUUUAAUACAAAGCGACUUACAAAUGAUGACAAUAAAAACACAUAAAAUUAACAAAAGAACAACAAUAUAUAAGUGCAAUUGACAAGUCUCAGUUAGCCUAAUGCAAUACACGUAGUAAGGUAUAUAUGUAUAUUAUAUAUAUAUAUAUUUAUAUAUGUAUAAAUAUAUAUAUAUAUAUAUAUAUAUAUAUAUAUAUAUAUAUAUAUAUAUAUAUAUAUAUUAUAUCAAGGAUCACUCUUUAAAGGAUGCUAGUUUAUAAUACAUUUUAUUUUAUUUAUAUGUAAAUUUCACAUUCAUUAAUGCAAGUUAUGCAAACUCAAACCUGGGACCUGGAUACCAGCAUCACGGAUAUCAAAAAUGUCCUUUCCUCUCGAAGCCCCUUAUCACUGUGUGCAAUAGCAAAUUCACUUUAUAAUAUUUAAACCAAACCUUUGUAUAUAGAUGUGAUGUCAAAAUCUAAAAAUAAUAACGCAAUUAAAACGAUUAAUAUAUGCUCCUCCUUUAACAUUUUCACAUAAUAAUAAUACAAAAUAAUAAUAAAUAAUGGUGCUGACCUGCAAAGUAUUAAAUUAGCAUUUGCAUUGUAAUGUCCUAUGGAAAUGGAAAUAUAUAUGUAUAAUUUAUUAUUAUUAUAUAUAAUUAUAUAUUCUUUUUUUCCUUGCUCCUUCUUGUUGAGGCAUGUGAAAUGUUUUGUUAUAUAGUGAGAUAUGGCACAAAAAAAUCAUUGAAAACCCCUACUUUCAAUGGAGUGGGCCCGUGGGCCUGUCGCGUGGUGGCAGAAGUUGAAAACAUAACUUUCAAGCGCCAACGAAGGCAUCAGUCAAUCAUAUCGCCAUAUGCAAAUACGCUAGCCAAUCGCGUUCAUCCAACACCUCCAAGCGUCGGCGGCGACGUCCGUUGCCUCGCUACGCGCUUCACUGAAAUCUACCGGGAUUUCCCUAU
ensembl:lncRNA